UACGAAGGGGGCUAGCGUUGCUCGGAAUGACUGGGCGUAAAGGGCGCGUAGGCGGCUUACUUAGUUAGGCGUGAAAUUCCUGGGCUCAACCUGGGGACUGCGGCUGAUACAUGUAGGCUUGAGUGUGAAAGAGGGUCGGGGAAUUUCCAGUGUAGAGGUGAAAUGCGUAGAUAUUGGAAAGAACACCGGUGGCGAAGGCGGCGACCUGGUUCGUUACUGACGCUGAGGCGCGAAAGCGUGGGGAGCAAACAGG
rnacentral:rRNA from 1 species